rnacentral:misc_RNA from 1 species
ACACAUAUGGAACAGAUAGUGUUCGUUCAUGAUUUGUUUCGAGUGACUCGCUACUACUGAGUGUCCCUUUCCAUUUGUUCUCAGUGGGGAUCCAGAGAGGCGCGGCUUCGGAUCAAACACGGGAAUUCUUGAGAUCCUUGGGAUCGGGGACCAAUUCAGAUGCUGACACGCAAACAAUACGAGCUUCUGCGCUUUAUCAAUGAGCGGCUCAAGGAAGCUGGUGUUCCGCCCUCCUUCGACGAAAUGAAGGA